rnacentral:rRNA from 1 species
GGUAGCUUGCUACCUGACCUAGCGGCGGACGGGUGAGUAAUGCUUAGGAAUCUGCCUAUUAGUGGGGGACAACAUUCCGAAAGGAAUGCUAAUACCGCAUACGCCCUACGGGGGAAAGCAGGGGAUCUUCGGACCUUGCGCUAAUAGAUGAGCCUAAGUCAGAUUAGCUAGUUGGUGGGGUAAAGGCCUACCAAGGCGACGAUCUGUAGCGGGUCUGAGAGGAUGAUCCGCCACACUGGGACUGAGACACGGCCCAGACUCCUACGGGAGGCAGCAGUGGGGAAUAUUGGACAAUGGGCGAAAGCCUGAUCCAGCCAUGCCGCGUGUGUGAAGAAGGCCUUUUGGUUGUAAAGCACUUUAAGCGAGGAGGAGGCUACUUAGAUUAAUACUCUAGGAUAGUGGACGUUACUCGCAGAAUAAGCACCGGCUAACUCUGUGCCAGCAGCCGCGGUAAUACAGAGGGUGCGAGCGUUAAUCGGAUUUACUGGGCGUAAAGCGUGCGUAGGCGGCUUCUUAAGUCGGAUGUGAAAUCCCUGAGCUUAACUUAGGAAUUGCAUUCGAUACUGGGAAGCUAGAGUAUGGGAGAGGAUGGUAGAAUUCCAGGUGUAGCGGUGAAAUGCGUAGAGAUCUGGAGGAAUACCGAUGGCGAAGGCAGCCAUCUGGCCUAAUACUGACGCUGAGGUACGAAAGCAUGGGGAGCAAACAGGAUUAGAUACCCUGGUAGUCCAUGCCGUAAACGAUGUCUACUAGCCGUUGGGGCCUUUGAGGCUUUAGUGGCGCAGCUAACGCGAUAAGUAGACCGCCUGGGGAGUACGGUCGCAAGACUAAAACUCAAAUGAAUUGACGGGGGCCCGCACAAGCGGUGGAGCAUGUGGUUUAAUUCGAUGCAACGCGAAGAACCUUACCUGGUCUUGACAUAGUAAGAACUUUCCAGAGAUGGAUUGGUGCCUUCGGGAGCUUACAUACAGGUGCUGCAUGGCUGUCGUCAGCUCGUGUCGUGAGAUGUUGGGUUAAGUCCCGCAACGAGCGCAACCCUUUUCCUUAUUUGCCAGCGGGUUAAGCCGGGAACUUUAAGGAUACUGCCAGUGACAAACUGGAGGAAGGCGGGGACGACGUCAAGUCAUCAUGGCCCUUACGACCAGGGCUACACACUUGCUACAAUGGUCGGUACCAAAGGGUUGCUACCU